GGGAGAGUGGUGUACUGGUUUAAGUGUUGGACUACAACUCUGGAGACCAGGGUUCGAAUCCCUGAUCCACCA